rnacentral:pre_miRNA from 1 species
AUUGUACUCCUUCCGUUCGGAAUUACUUGUCGUAGAAAUAGGUGUAUCUAAACGUAUUUUAGUUCUAGAUACAUCCAUUUCCGAGACAAGUAAUUCCGAACAGAGGGAGUAUCUU